GUGGUGUCGGUAAGGCGUUUACGGGGAAGUUCAUGGCUGCUGUGGUCUACGGUCGCACUUUUGGAUUACGCGCAGAGAUUGACGAGACCGACACGCUGUCGAAAUCCUGUACCGCAUGCCCCGGCCAGACUUUGUGUGCACCGACAGACAGAAUAUCCUGACGUCCAAUUGGAAAAGCUGAACCCACGCUGCCACAAAUCUUGAAGGCGCUCGGUCUAGCGAAGAGAAGCACCAAGUUCCCGUCCCAUUUCAAGCAGCGCCAAGCCAAGAAAUUCGCCUUAAGUAUUAUAUGCCUGACAAUUUUAAGACAAGUUUCACUUUAAUGGGGUUUCAAAGUGACUCUUGCAAAUUCGAAAAAACGCAAUGGGAGAAUACGGCUUCCCUGUAAGAAGACUCGAAUAGCGGUGGAACCGUAUGCAAAGCUGCGAGCUCGUGCUCGCAAAUGUCGCUAUUUAUUCCUGUCCCAGCAAAACGGGCUAAACGGUGCACAAAAACUUUUAUGAUCUCAAGAGUUGUACCCUCCAGUCAUGUAAGUGAUGGGAGAGAGGUAAGAGGUAAGUAUAUAUAAACGAGUUCAAUGUUUAAUAACAAGAACUCACAAGAAGCCAGCAGCGCAAACUCGACACAGCCAACAAACAUGACAAAAAAUUAUCAAUUCAAGUAAACGUUUUCACCCAUGUGAAACUUCGAUCUCGUGAUAGGUAACACAGACAGGUACACGCAUUUCUGGAAUUUGUUGCGAGAUAUAUGAAUGCUAACAUAGGCGCGAUGUCCGGCCUAAGCGGCCACCGUGGGAAAACUUCUGAUAAACUCUGGGCUGCAGCCUCACAAAGGAAAUUAACGUUUUAGCGUUUUCAACAUUCUCGUAGGCCAUACGU
rnacentral:lncRNA from 1 species